UACAGAGGGGGCAAGCGUUGUUCGGAAUUAUUGGGCGUAAAGCGCGCGUAGGCGGCUUUGUAAGUUAGAGGUGAAAGCCCGGGGCUCAACCCCGGAACUGCCUUUAAAACUGCAUCGCUUGAAUCCGGGAGAGGUGAGUGGAAUUCCGAGUGUAGAGGUGAAAUUCGUAGAUAUUCGGAAGAACACCAGUGGCGAAGGCGGCUCACUGGACCGGCAUUGACGCUGAGGUGCGAAAGCGUGGGGAGCAAACAGG
rnacentral:rRNA from 1 species